AGGAUCGGGAGCUAAGUUCUCGAACGACGGAACGAGUGCCGUACAGUUGUUAUUUUACCUGCGUUUCACAUGGUAUUGUUGAAAAGGGAAAACCGUUGAGUGCAUUUCGAAGUUUUAUCUUAAAUAAGUAUUUUAUGCUGCCGUUCCAGCUUCAGUGAUCUCGUAAUGGCUUGGCGCUCGUGAACAUGAGAACAAAGAGGAUUUUGCUUUGAUUCAUAAAGGAAACAAACAAUGAGUCUAAAAACUGUUUCUGGUGUCCAGUUGCAGAGACUGAAAAUUCCUGACUGA